rnacentral:rRNA from 1 species
UACGGAGGGUGCAAGCGUUGUUCGGAAUUACUGGGCGUAAAGCGCGUGUAGGCGGCCUUCUAAGUCUGAUGUGAAAGCCCGGGGCUUACCUCCGGAAGUGCAUUGGAGACUGGAAGGCUAGAGUACCGGAGAGGAGGGUGGAAUUCCUGGUGUAGCGGUGAAAUGCGUAGAUAUCAGGAGGAACACCGGUGGCGAAGGCGGCCCUCUGGACGGCUACUGACGCUGAGACGCGAAAGCGUGGGGAGCAAACAGG